ACUCCUACGGGAGGCAGCAGUGAGGAAUAUUGGUCAAUGGAGGGAACUCUGAACCAGCCAUCCCGCGUGUAGGGAAGACGGCCUUAUGGGUUGUAAACUACUUUUUAUACAGGAAGAAACUACCCUCGUGAGGGUUGACCUGACGGUACNGUAGGAAUAAGCACCGGCUACUCCGUGCCAGCAGCCGCGGUAAUACGGAGGGUGCGAGCGUUAUCCGGAUUUAUUGGGUUUAAAGGGUCCGUAGGCGGAUUAAUAAGUCAGUGGUGAAAUCCCAUCGCUUAACGAUGGAACUGCCAUUGAUACUGUUAGUCUUGAAUGAGGGUGCAGUGGUUGGAAUGUGUAGUGUAGC
rnacentral:rRNA from 1 species